GGGUUGUGAGGUUAAGCGACUAAGCGUACACGGUGGAUGCCCUGGCAGUCAGAGGCGAUGAAGGACGUGCUAAUCUGCGAUAAGCGUCGGUAAGGUGAUAUGAACCGUUAUAACCGGCGAUUUCCGAAUGGGGAAACCCAGUGUGAUUCGUCACACUAUCAUUAACUGAAUCCAUAGGUUAAUGAGGCGAACCGGGGGAACUGAAACAUCUAAGUACCCCGAGGAAAAGAAAUCAACCGAGAUUCCCCCAGUAGCGGCGAGCGAACGGGGAGGAGCCCAGAGCCUGAAUCAGUGUGUGUGUUAGUGGAAGCGUCUGGAAAGGCGCGCGAUA
rnacentral:rRNA from 1 species